rnacentral:lncRNA from 1 species
AUCUUCCAUGCCCAGCGUAGGCCAAACACGAGAACAGCAAUGGUGCCGACCAGCACAUUGAAGUUUUUAGAUUGAAAAGCCUGAACAGAAUGUUCGGCUGGAGCUGGGGACAUAUUCCUUUCCUAUUUUAUCUCUUCCAUAAGCCUCAGGGCUGAUUGGAAAAUACACCCACUGCAGGAUUUGGAUAGCCAGGAUUUUAUGUUUAUUUCUUAGACCUGUUCACGCACAGUCUCAAUUUCUCUUGCUCGCUCUCUCUUGCGCAUACUUUUUGGGUGGAAGUCUGAAAGCUGCAUGUCAUAAUACCAGUGAGGAAGUGC